GUCAAUGGGGGGAACCCUGAACGAGUCAAUGCCGCGUGAGUGAGGAAGGUCUUCGGAUCGUAAAGCUCUGUUGUAAGAGAAAAACGGCACUCAUAGGGAAUGAUGAGUGAGUGAUGGUAUCUUACCAGAAAGUCACGGCUAACUACGUGCCAGCAGCCGCGGUAAUACGUAGGUGGCGAGCGUUAUCCGGAAUGAUUGGGCGUAAAGGGUGCGUAGGUGGCAGAUCAAGUCUGGAGUAAAAGGUAUGGGCUCAACCCGUACUGGCUCUGGAAACUGAUCAGCUAGAGAACAGAAGAGGACGGCGGAACUCCAUGUGUAGCGGUAAAAUGCGUAGAUAUAUGGAAGAACACCGGUGGCGAAGGCGGCCGUCUGGUCUGGAUUCUGACACUGAAGCACGAAAGCGUGGGGAGCAAAUAGGAUUAGAUACCCUAGUAGUCCACGCCGUAAACGAUGAGAACUAGGUGUUGGGGGAAUAACUCAGUGCCGCAGUUAACGCAGUAAGUUCUCCGCCUGGGGAGUAUGCACGCAAGUGUGAAACUCAAAGGAAUUGACGGGGGCCCGCACAAGCGGUGGAGUAUGUGGUUUAAUUCGAAGCAACGCGAAGAACCUUACCAGGCCUUGACAUCCCUUGCAGAGGUAUAGAGAUAUAUCCGAGGUAUCAAGGAGACAGGUGGUGCAUGGUUGUCGUCAGCUCGUGCCGUGAGAUGUUGGGUU
rnacentral:rRNA from 1 species